rnacentral:rRNA from 1 species
GCCUGGGAAUACCAGGUGCUGUAAGCUUUAGCAUUUUCUUCACUAAGCAUGGUCGGGCCUGGUUAGUACUUGGAUGGGAGACUGCCUGAGAAUACCAGGUUCUGUAAGCU